AGCAGCCGCGGUAAUUCCAGCUCCAAUAGCGUAUAUUAAAGUUGUUGCAGUUAAAAAGCUCGUAGUUGAAUUUCGGGGUUAGUAGGUUGGUCAUGCCUCUGGUAUGUACUGGUCUCACUGAUUCCUCCUUCCUGAUGAGCCGUAAUGCCAUUAAUUUGGUGUUGCGGGGAAUUUGGACUGUUACUUUGAAAAAAUUAGAGUGUUUAAAGCAGGCUCACGCUUGAAUACAUUAGCAUGGAAUAAUGAAAUAGGACGUUUGAUCCUAUUUUGUUGGCUUCUAGGAUUGACGUAAUGAUUAAUAGGGAUAGUUGGGGGCAUUAGUAUUCAAUUGUCAGAGGUGAAAUUCUUGGAUUUAUUGAAGACUAACUACUGCGAAAGCAUUUGCCAAGGAUGUUUUCAUUAAUCAAGAACGAAAGUUAGGGGAUCGAAGACGAUCAGAUACCGUCGUAGUCUUAACCAUAAACUAUGCCGACUAGGGAUCGGAUGAUGUUAAUUUUUUAAUGACUCAUUCGGCGCCUUA
rnacentral:rRNA from 1 species